UGGGUGAGAACACAAAUAGAAUUCCAGAUAAUUCAGAACAAAUACUACAAAUCAGAGACUAGCCCAAAACCUCUUUUUAAUCUCCCACUUUUGAAAGACAACUAAGGAGGACCAAGGACAUUUGGCAACUCCACACUAAUAGUUACUGGGUGCCUUUUGUCUUUCUUCUCUUGAUCGCAAGUUCAAUUUGUCUGCAGUAAAAAAUUUUCUCUAUGGCAUAUAUCAUUUCAUCUCCAACAUGAAAUGCUCAAGAAGAGACUGAGGCAGAGCAAGGAUUCUAGAGUCCAUUGGCUUUAACCAAAGAAAUAGAGAUGCCUGAGUCUCCAGCAGAGAUUGAAACCGAGAAGCACUAGACCAAGAAUCUAAUAGGUUCACAAAUGUAGCGGUACUGUGUCUCAGGAUGGAUGACACCUAAGGCCUG